rnacentral:lncRNA from 1 species
CUGGAAAAAGAGAAGAAAGCCGGUGGUGCACCACCAUUCACCUUUGUUUCCCUGAGCGCACACAGUGUACCAGACAGCACACCUCUGCUCCCAUAUAUCUCCCCUAUCAUGGUGGGCUGUUCUGCUUUGCUUUCUGUUGCAGCAGGAAACACUGAUGAGGAGGAACAGGUUUGUUUGGCUUAUUCUUCCUGACAGAGCCGCCAUUCAGCAAAAGUCAGGGCAGGACCUCAAUCAGGAGCAGAGGCAGGAACCGCAGAGAAGAGGGUCUGUCUGGCUUACUCAACUAGGAUUCUUAUACAGGCCAGGCCCACCCAUGUGGGGAUGGCGAGCCCACAUGGGCUGGGCUCUCCUACAUCAAUUAACAGUUAAGAAAAAAAUGAUUAUAGACCUGCCUGUAGACCAAUCUAGUUGAGGCCGUCCCUCAUUGAGACUCUUUUAGAUAACUAGGCUGUGUCAAGCUGAGAGCUGACACUAAUUAGGAUGACUGUAAGUGUUCAGAUUAUAAAGGAGACUAAACCCUUCCAUCAUUUGCUUUGUCAGGAAUGUUGUCACAAAGUAAUAAAAGGAACCAAGAGAGGAAGAGGAAGGGCGUGGGGAAGGACAUGUGCCCUACGAGGCAGCAUCACUUACAGUUUCCCCCAUGUGCAGGUGACCAAGGCACUUGGGCCCUGGGAGGAUGGAUGAUGCACCAGAUCCAAACAGUGCCAUUCACUCUACCUCGUAUCCUCUACGGUUUUCACAGAACCUCCUGCAACAUCCAGACAGAAAGCAGGGAUCAAAGGGAGGUAGUCUCACUCUGACCCCUUUCUGGUGUCUGAUAUUCUUCAGAGCCUCUAACAUAUCUUCUGUGGCUUAACCUGUGCACCCCAAACAGUCUUUAUUAGCUUCCUGAAGAACGCAUACAGACUAGGAUGCAUCUUCUUGCACUUCAGACCCCACUGGCCCUCACUGUGGACCAUGAGGUGUCCGCUUACCUUCUGUAGUCGUUGACUUCAUCUUCGUCGUUGUAGUACUCUUCUUCUUCUUCUUCUUCUUCUUCUUCUUCUUCUUCUUCUUCUUCUUCUUCUUCUUCUUCUUCUUCUUCUUCUGCAAUUCUUC